ACGACUCUCGGCAACGGAUAUCUCGGCUCUCGCAUCGAUGAAGAACGCAGCGAAAUGCGAUACUUGGUGUGAAUUGCAGAAUCCCGUGAACCAUCGAGUUUUUGAACGCAAGUUGCGCCCAAAGCCUUUCGGUUGAGGGCACGUCUGCCUGGGUGUCACGCAACAU
rnacentral:rRNA from 1 species